rnacentral:rRNA from 1 species
AACGUAGGAGGCGAGCGUUAUCCGGAGUUACUGGGCGUAAAGCGCGCGUAGGCGGCUUUGUAAGUCAGAGGUGAAAUCCCGGGGCUCAACCUCGGAACUGCCUUUGAUACUGCAAAUCUCGAGUCCGGAAGAGGUGAGUGGAAUUCCUAGUGUAGAGGUGAAAUUCGUAGAUAUUAGGAAGAACACCAGUGGCGAAGGCGGCUCACUGGUCCGGUACUGACGCUGAGGUGCGAAAGCGUGGGGAGCAAACAGG